UUCGCUUCUCGGCCUUUUGGCUAAGAUCAAGUGUAGUAUUGUGCUAAGCUUGAUCUUGAGAAGUGAUCAGAUAAUUGUGCUUUUGCAAAAAAAUUGUUUUUUCUGUUUCACUAUUGUUUUUUGUCCUGGUAGGUGGUGGUUUGGUGGUGGACUACAGGUGCACCAGCACCUGUAGGGUGAGUUUAA